rnacentral:rRNA from 1 species
GGCCGAUGGCGACCGGCGCACGGGUGAGUAACACGUAUCCAACCUGCCGUCUACUCUUGGACAGCCUUCUGAAAGGAAGAUUAAUACAAGAUGGCAUCAUGAGUCCGCAUGUUCACAUGAUUAAAGGUAUUCCGGUAGACGAUGGGGAUGCGUUCCAUUAGAUAGUAGGCGGGGUAACGGCCCACCUAGUCUUCGAUGGAUAGGGGUUCUGAGAGGAAGGUCCCCCACAUUGGAACUGAGACACGGUCCAAACUCCUACGGGAGGCAGCAGUGAGGAAUAUUGGUCAAUGGGCGCAGGCCUGAACCAGCCAAGUAGCGUGAAGGAUGACUGCCCUAUGGGUUGUAAACUUCUUUUAUAAAGGAAUAAAGUCGGGUAUGUAUACCCGUUUGCAUGUACUUUAUGAAUAAGGAUCGGCUAACUCCGUGCCAGCAGCCGCGGUAAUACGGAGGAUCCGAGCGUUAUCCGGAUUUAUUGGGUUUAAAGGGAGCGUAGAUGGAUGUUUAAGUCAGUUGUGAAAGUUUGCGGCUCAACCGUAAAAUUGCAGUUGAUACUGGAUAUCUUGAGUGCAGUUGAGGCAGGCGGAAUUCGUGGUGUAGCGGUGAAAUGCUUAGAUAUCACGAAGAAUUCCGAUUGCGAAG